UCCCAGACUCCUACGGGAGGCAGCAGUGGGGAAUAUUGCACAAUGGGGGAAACCCUGAUGCAGCGACGCCGCGUGAGCGAUGAAGUAUUUCGGUAUGUAAAGCUCUAUCAGCAGGGAAGAAAAUGACGGUACCUGACUAAGAAGCCCCGGCUAACUACGUGCCAGCAGCCGCGGUAAUACGUAGGGGGCAAGCGUUAUCCGGAUUUACUGGGUGUAAAGGGAGCGUAGACGGCGAUGCAAGCCAGAUGUGAAAGCCCGGGGCUCAACCCCGGGACUGCAUUUGGAACUGUAUAGCUAGAGUGUCGGAGAGGCAGGCGGAAUUCCUAGUGUAGCGGUGAAAUGCGUAGAUAUUAGGAAGAACACCAGUGGCGAAGGCGGCUUUCUGGACUGAAACUGACGCUGAGGCACGAAAGCGUGGGGAGCGAACAGGAUUAGAUACCCUAGUACU
rnacentral:rRNA from 1 species